rnacentral:rRNA from 1 species
UACGGGGGGAGCAAGCGUUGUUCGGAUUUACUGGGCGUAAAGGGCGCGUAGGCGGCCACCGCAAGUCGACUGUGAAAUCUCCGGGCUUAACCCGGAAAGGUCAGCCGAUACUGCGGGGCUAGAGUGCAGAAGGGGCAACUGGGAAUUCUCGGUGUAGCGGUGAAAUGCGUAGAUAUCGAGAGGAACACCUGCGGCGAAGGCGGGUGCUGGGCUGACACUGACGCUGAUGCGCGAAAGCUAGGGGAGCGAACGGG